AUUGAACGCUGGCGGCAGGCUUAACACAUGCAAGUCGAACGAGUGGCGGACGGGUGAGUAAUGCUUGGGAAUCUAGCUUAUGGAGGGGGAUAACUACGGGAAACUGUAGCUAAUACCGCGUACCAUAGGUUGAGCCCAAUGGGGAUUAGGUAGGUGGUGGGGUAAAGGCUCACCAAGCCGACGAUCUCUAGCUGGCCUGAGAGGAUGACCAGCCACACUGGUACUUAGACACGGCCCAGACGCCUACGGGAGGCAGCAGUGGGGAAUAUUGGGCAAUGGGGGCAACCUGACGCAGCCACGCCGCGUGAGUGAAGAAGGCUUUCGGGUUGUAAAGUUCUUUCGGUAGGGAGGCGUUAACUACAGAAGAAGCACCGGCUAACUCCGUGCCAGCCGCCGCGGUAAUUC
rnacentral:rRNA from 1 species